CCCAGUUGAGGCUCAAGUCUGAUGCUCGGCUUGGGUCCCGGCCGGUAAUAAACUCCUGUGUGGAUUUACUAUCAGUCUCUGGUUGGUUCUCUCUCAUUGGGUGCAACAUUCUUGGAGGCCCCAGCGAGACAGCCAGCUGCUCUGGAGCUUAUUAUCUUGGAGGAUUUGUUUCUUUUUAGGAGACCAGGAUCGGACAUCGGCAGUGUUUGGCCCCUCUGGACACCGGUCUGCGGAAGGAGAGGCCACCCUGACGGUAUUCUGGGACUCUGGGUAGGCCGGUCCCAGUCCCCAGUCAAGCCCUAUCGCCGACCAACCAACCCACAGGAGUUUAUGCGGGAAGCCUCUAGAGGUGUAUAGCAUGGUGGCUGGAUAUGCAUAGACAAGAAAUGACCAUCACAGAGACAGGCUGUGAGAAUUAUAGCCCACAUUUGGCUGGGGUUGAAGCAGGG
rnacentral:lncRNA from 1 species